UCCCGGUGAAUAUAUUGAUAUACAUUGUUAUUAGUUCAUCCUCUACACAUUGGUAUAAUUAUCUCUCACCUCUUUACUUUCUUGCAAAAUUAGUUGUAACUAGUAGACUAGUUUUAGUUAGUUGUAGCUAGUUGUAAAGAGUAGUGACAUAGCCAUUGCUUGUGCCUAGAGAUCAUAGCAACUAGAAUUAUUAUAUAGGUGGCUUGCAUCUCUUGUAGAGCUAGAGCAAAAUUGCUUUACGCCGUUUGUUAUAUUAAUCCUUUGUUCUAGUGCUUUGUAGAUUUUUUUAAAUAGGCUAUUCACCCCCCCUCUAGCCAUAUUAGGACCUUUCACAUGUAACCAUACACCUUACGAUAUCAUAUUCAAUAUGUUGUGGCAAGUUUAGUCUUGUCACGAAAUAUUGACAGAAGAACUAUUGUUACUAUAUUAAUGAAAAUGUCAUCUAAUGGUUAUAGAAGCUCCUUCAAAAUGGCUCCGACUUCUCCAAAGAAGCCCCUCAGGAGGAACCCUGCCAAAUACCCCCUUACUCAUUGCUACUUGGUUCUCAUGUGAUAACCACGACGUGCUUGCUGAACAUCCUUGACGAUAGCUUCGUGCAAUGUUUGUGUUGUCUAUGAAUAUGAAGGUCCACGUGUACAUAUUUCUUUGUAAUACUUGGACUGUAACAUUAUUGGUGUUACUACAAGGUAUAUAUUUUUGACACAUUUUAUAUGUUCCAUUUAUAUGUUACAACAUAGUACACUCUUGUAGCAUUUUGCUUGUAACAUUAAUUUUGUGUUACUAUAAUUAUUGCUAGUAACACAUUUCUAUAAAAAAGUACUUUGUGUUACAACCAAAGUCUGUAACACACUAUUUUGUGUUACUGUGAAAUUUUACUAGAACAUAUUGAUGAAUAUGUUACAAGAAAGUGAUACAAUAUCCUUGUUUUGUGGUAGUGCUCCUCUCUCCCUCUCUUUCUAGCCCUAACCAAAAGCUCUCGACCUAACAAAUAAGAGGCUAAUCCCCA
rnacentral:lncRNA from 1 species